rnacentral:rRNA from 1 species
AUGGAGUCAUGGAUCACGCACAGAGGAUAUUACAUUUCUAGGGUAGCCACACCGGCAAUUUUUUUGUCUGGUGGAGACCUUGGUGCUGACUUCCUUAGGGCUUUCUCGAUAGUUGAUUCAACAUGCAAUAUUUCUGUAAAGCUGAUUCUUGGUGCGAAAAUCAAGCGAUAUGCUCUGGAACAACUGAAGCUUACACUUGAAAGAUAUGACAGCAGAUUCAGAGAUAUGAGUCUACCAUGGCUACUUUCCCUGGCUGAAAACGGACAUGGGAAGCUCGUGCCGCGAAAUGCAUUCAGUCAAACAAAUUACAUCCAAUGCUACAAGCUCCCAGAACACCAUCUCACGCCUGGCAUGUCUUUGGUUGGGUUACCACAACCAUGUUGUUUGCUGAUGCAUAUGACUUCACUGACAGAUGCAGGGGAAAGUGAUGAAAAGUCUGCUUUGGUUAGCUGGAUUUGCAGUUUGAACAAAAUCAAGCUUCAAGAUGUGAUAGAGCGUUGUUCAGCAAGUUGUCAAACCAACCCUGUUCCUGAUAAUAAACUGGGUGCUAAUAACUCUGCUGAUCUGCCAGGGGGGUAUUUGUGUUGA